CCUACGGGAGGCAGCAGUGGGGAAUAUUGCACAAUGGGGGAAACCCUGAUGCAGCGACGCCGCGUGAGCGAAGAAGUAUUUCGGUAUGUAAAGCUCUAUCAGCAGGGAAGAAAAUGACGGUACCUGAGUAAGAAGCUCCGGCUAAAUACGUGCCAGCAGCCGCGGUAAUACGUAUGGAGCAAGCGUUAUCCGGAUUUACUGGGCGUAAAGGGAGCGUAGGCGGCCUGCCAAGUCUGAUGUGAAAUACCGGGGCUCAACCCCGGGGCUGCAUUGGAAACUGGGUGGCUGGAGUGCCGGAGAGGCAGGCGGAAUUCCUGGUGUAGCGGUGACAGGCGUAGAUAUCAGGAGGAAUAACGUGAGCGACGGCGGCAAUCUGGCUGGAAACUGACGCUGAGGUGCGAAAGCGUGGGUAGCAAACAGGAGUAGAUACCCUUGUAGUC
rnacentral:rRNA from 1 species